GGUACCUAAUGCAUACUAGAUUAAUUAAUUAAACUCAAACGCUCCAAAUUUUGUCUACUCCAACAAUCUCUCUCAUCGCCUUGCUGUUAUUAAGACUGUUGGGGCUUUGACGAGCUUGGCAUUGAAGGAGGCAAAAGAGCUCAUUGAAGAUUUGCCAAAGAAGUAUAGAGAAGGGAUUUCGAAGGAAGAGGCGAAGGAGCUCAUUGAAAGCCUAGAUGGAAACUUUGAGACGAGUUUUUUAGCAGAUUGAAGAAUCAAGUUAAUUUCGACGGGAAGUAUGAAAUGUGGAAGAUGAAAUAGGCAUGCGAGUUACGAGGUAACAGAGAGGAGCAUUCAUCAACUUGAAUACUAUUUUCCAAUGCUCUUCUCAGCUAUGUGUCAAAUCUCUUUAUUUCAUUACUCGGUUUACUAUUGUAAAAGUUAAAAAGAUGAUGUUUUCUUGCAUUUUAAGUUCCUCUUUUGUUCAAGUUUUGGAAAAGAUCAUGUUGAAAGUUUAGUUGAACAUUAGUUUUUGUUUACAAUGUAGUGAGAUUAUUGAUGCGUGGACUA